rnacentral:lncRNA from 1 species
UGAUUUGAAAGUGGGAUAGGUUCUUCAUCCUAACUCCUAUGAGAUUUAUUCAACUUCCUGGUUAUUCUCCUUCGUCCGGACUCCGAUUGCGGCGUGGUCGGUGGCUACGGCUUCGUCUCGACGAGAGGAACACGAUGGUGGCUCUGCAUGCGCGAGAUUCUCAACGGUUAAGAAGAUAUGGCCGAUAUACUGAACGGACGAAAACAAAGCUUAAGAGGCGGCGGUUUCCGACGAUUCUCAGCUGAGGUUGAUGGUGAUGACGAGCUUGACGAUGUCCUGGCGUGCGGUGGCUCCGGCGAGGACUCCUGGUGGCAGCAUGCAGUGGUUCCUAUCUUUUUUUCUUUCACUCUCUCUCUUUUUCACUUCUUCUUCUCUCUAACUUUUCUGAUUUCUUUUUUUUGAUGCAGGUGGAGAAAACAAUGUGAAGAUGGGGUAUUUAUAAACAAACAUUUUAGUUUUGAUGUAUUGCUUGGGCCUUAGCCGGCUAACGAGUUCCGAGAUCGAAAUUCGGAUCGUUACAG